rnacentral:rRNA from 1 species
UGGGAUGACGUCAAUCAUCAUGCCCUUAUGACCUGGGCUACACACGUGCUACAAUGGUUGGUACAACGAGUUGCGAGUCGGUGACGGCGAGCUAAUACUCUUAAAGCCAAUCUCAGUUCGGAUUGUAGGCUGCAACUCGCCUACAUGAAGUCGGAAUCGCUAGUAAUCGCGGACUCAGCACGCCGCGGUGAAUACGUUCCCGGGCCUU